rnacentral:rRNA from 1 species
AAAGAAAGAUGUGAAAUCCCAGGGCUCAACCUUGGAACUGCAUUUUUAACUGCCGAGCUAGAGUAUGUCAGAGGGGGUAGAAUUCCACGUGUAGCAGUGAAAUGCGUAGAUAUGUGGAGGAAUACCGAUGGCGAAGGCAGCCCCCUGGGAUAAUACUGACGCUCAGACACGAAAGCGUGGGGAGCAAACAGGAUUAGAUACCCUGGUAGUCCACGCCCUAAACGAUGUCAACUAGCUGUUGGGGCCGUUAGGCCUUAGUAGCGCAGCUAACGCGUGAAGUUGACCGCCUGGGGAGUACGGUCGCAAGAUUAAAACUCAAAGGAAUUGACGGGGACCCGCACAAGCGGUGGAUGAUGUGGAUUAAUUCGAUGCAACGCGAAAAACCUUACCUACCCUUGACAUGUCUGGAAAGCCGAAGAGAUUUGGCCGUGCUCGCAAGAGAACCGGAACACAGGUGCUGCAUGGUUGUCGUCAGCUCGUGUCGUGAGAUGUUGGGUUAAGUCCCGCAACGAGCGCAACCCUUGUCAUUAGUUGCUACGCAAGAGCACUCUAAUGAGACUGCCGGUGACAAACCGGAGGAAGGUGGGGAUGACGUCAAGUCCUCAUGGCCCUUAUGGGUAGGGCUUCACACGUCAUACAAUGGUCGGGACAGAGGGUCGCCAACCCGCGAGGGGGAGCCAAUCUCAGAAACCCGAUCGUAGUCCGGAUCGCAGUCUGCAACUCGACUGCGUGAAGUCGGAAUCGCUAGUAAUCGCGGAUCAGAAUGUCGCGGUGAAUACGUUCCCGGGUCUUGUACACACCGCCCGUCACACCAUGGGAGUGGGUUUCACCAGAAGUAGGUAGCCUAACCGUAAGGAGGGCGCUUACCACGGUGGGAUUCAUGUCUGGGGUGAAGUCGUAACAAGGUAGCCGUA